UGCCCGGUGACCUAGUUCAACGGCCGCGGUAUCCUAACCGUGCAAAGGUAGCGCAAUCAAUUGUCCCAUAAAUCGAGACUAGUAUGAAUGGCUAAACGAGGUCUUAACUGUCUCUUACAGGCAAUCAGUGAAAUUGAUCUUCCUGUGCGAAAGCAGGAAUAAACCCAUAAGACGAGAAGACCCUGUGGAACUUCAAAAUCGCGACCACGCUAAAUAACAUCCAAACCCACACCGGGUUCACCCACCACACUAAGCCGCUGGCACGCAUUUUUCGGUUGGGGCGACCUUGGAGAAAAACAAAUCCUCCAAAAACCAGACCAUAACUCUUGACUAAGAGCAACCCCUCAACGUACUAAUAGUAACCCAGACCCAAUACAAUUGAGCAAUGGACCAAGCUACCCCAGGGAUAACAGCGCAAUCUCCUUCGAGAGUCCGUAUCGACGAGGAGGUUUACGACCUCGAUGUUGGAUCAGGACAUCCUAGUGGCGCAGAGGCUACUAAGGGUUCGUU
rnacentral:rRNA from 1 species